AUAUUUUCUAGACGAGUGACAACGAUUGUUAGACUUCAUGCAAACAUGCGCUAUGCAAGCUGGAAACAAGUAUCUAAAGAGGAGAAAGAGGAGCUAAUUGACCGUGUUCGAGUAUACAAGUUUUAUUUAUCUGUUUUGUCAGAUCCUUUUUUAGUAAAACUAUUAUUGCUGCAUGAUAUUUCACUAAUGCAUUGUUUCAUAGGCUGACUUUAUAUUAGAUUGGACACAAAGUUCCCAUCGUGAGUGUGUGACAAAUGCUCUCCAUCGAAAAUACAAUGCAUUCCACUACCUUCUACGCAAGCAAUACUUGGGCUAUUCAUCACAUGAAGCCGCACUUUCUGGCGGGACAACCUGGGUGGAGAAGCCCGUUUGGGAUUACUUAUGUGGAUUGUGGUCGGGUGAACCAUUUAUGAAAAUGUCACAGAGAAAUAGCACAAAUAGGAAAAAACAGCGAAUCAACCAUACAAGUGGCCGAAAGCCUUUCGUUAGGGUUAUGGAGGAAACUAAUGAACAAGCCCCGAACUUGGUAGCUUUUUACAAAGAAGUGCAUUGGUCAAAAAAGAAAGGUGGAUUUAUCACCAACACUGCAGAACAAAAUUAUAAUCUGAUGCUUGAGCGGAUGAAUGAGACUGAGUU